UACAGGGGGUGCAAACGUUGCUCGGAAUUAUUGGGCGUAAAGCGCACGUAGGCGGUUCGUUAUGUCAGAUGUGAAAGCCCUUGGCUCAACUGAGGAAGUGCAUCUGAAACUGGCGAGCUAGAGUAUGUAAGAGGGUCGCGGAAUUCCCGGUGUAGAGGUGAAAUUCGUAGAUAUCGGGAGGAACACCGGUGGCGAAGGCGGCGACCUGGGUCGAUACUGACGCUGAGGUGCGAAAGCGUGGGGAGCAAACAGG
rnacentral:rRNA from 1 species